AGAAAAGGGACUCUGGAGUUUGUAUAAUUACACCACUCUCAAGAGUGUACUCCUUCUGCUCAAAAGAACACUGUGAAAUUGCCUCAGGCAAGAUCCUUCAGGAGAUAUUCAGAAGAAGGAAUUAUUAUCACAGGAGAUGAGAGCUCCAUGUGUGUUAUUGCCCCUGAAGAUCUUCCAGUGGGACAAGAUGUAGAGGUGGAAGAUAGAGAGAUUGAGGGUCCUGACCCUGUGUAGGCUUAACCUAGUGUGUGUGUUUGUGUGUUAGUUUAUUUAAGCUUACAAAGUAGAAAAAAAGUUUAAAAAUUUUCUAAAUAGAAAAAAGCUUAGGCUAUAAAGAAAAUAUUUCAGACAGCUGUACAGUGUAUUUGUGUUUUAAGCUGUUAUUACAAAAGAAUCAAAAAGUUAAAAAAAAUAAAAAGUUUUAAAGUAAAAAUUUACAGUAAGCUAAGGUUAAUUUAUUGUUGUAGAAAGAAAACCAAUUUUUAUAAAUUCAGUGCAAUCUAAGUGUACACUGUUUACAAGUUCAUAGUGUACAGAAUAUCCUAGGUCUUCACAUUCAAUCACCACUCACUGACACACCCAGAGCAACUUUCAGUCCUACAAGCUCCAUUCAAGGUAUGUGCCCCAUACAGGUGUACCAUUUUUAAUCUUUUAUACCAUAUUUUGAUUAUACCUUUUCUAUGUUUAGAUACACAAAUACUUACCUUUGUGUUACAGUUGCCUAGAGUGUCCAGUAUAGUAACAGCCUGUACAGGUUUGUAGCAUAGGAGGAAUUGGCUAUACCACAUAGCCUAGGUGUGUAGGAGGUUGUGCCGUCUAUGUUUGUGUAACUACGCUCUAUGAUGUUCACACAAUGGUUAAAUUGCCUGAUGCAUUUCUAUGAUCAUACCCCUGUUGUUAAGCAACGUAUAACUGUAUAACAAUAAUAUGUUAAGAAAGGUUUGUGUUAUUGUUAACGGUGAGUUAAUAAAUAUAUAACUCUACACUUACAAAUUUAGAAAAUUUUGUGAUACUGUACACCUGUUGUUUCUCUCCCUGAUCAGUUGCUGCUCUGUGUAAACACAUCGGUAGUAUGAGAUUCUCAUUGCUUGCCUCCUCUGCUAUCAGCCUUCUUGCACUGGGAGAUGCAGAGUUCACUUCAUUGGCAGUGCCUGUGAUUUAUAGGGAGUGACAGCUUACUAAUAAGCCACCUUUUUCUCCCUGUUACUUAAGGACUCCAAGGAGGCGUGGGAAUAUCCUGAGUAAACUGUGAGAUAUCAAAAGAUGGAUGUUAUUUCCCACCUCUUCUGUAUGGAUUUAGACAUCCAGAUGCAAGAUGUAUUUUGAAAUUCAUAUUUCUACAAAGGACAUCACUGAAGGCAAAAUAAUGCUUUUGUUAAAUGUAAUACAAGUUAUCAUUUAUGUUUUAAAAACUUUAAAAAUUAAUUAUUUCUCACAGAAAUUAUGUAGCACACAGUAAGUAUGCAGGAUGUUUUUCAUGAGUUCCAUUAAAAUGGACAGAGCAAUUAACUGUCUUCUGCAUCAAUGAAUAGUCCUUCAGAGGACCCCUUCUAAUGAAAGUAGGCUUUCAAAACCCUAUAGACCCAGAUAUAAAUAAUAUAACAAAAAAUUAUAAUAAGAGUUACCAACAAAAUGUUCACAUAAAAUCUAUGAAAAUGUGAUAGGACAGGGCUAGAUGACUUCCCAGGCUGAUUAGCUCAGACACUAUUUUACAAGGAACAGAUGCUUCAGUAGGGUUUAGCCAAGGGAAUAUCCCCAAUAAACACACCAAUUACCACCGCUGGUUACAGGAAAGUUAAACAGGUAGCAAUACUAGAUAGUCCAUGGAAACCUUGGUGAGCCUAAGGCUGUUAACACCUUAAUUAUUUCUUUUGAAAAUAAAUUGAUCUCUCACAACACAUUCACACACACACACACGGGUGUGUGUUGUCAAUCUCUUUUAUAAAUGUAAUCUAAUCUUCCAUAUUUAGUAAGCAUUAUAUACAUGAUGUAGCUUACUUAAGUGCCCGUUUUGUGUGUACAUUUUUCAAGUACUCUUAGCAUAUUUUUACUGUUUUACCUAUGUGAAUUCAGAUUUACGUACAUUCUAAUAAAAGGACAGUUCAGAAACAAAUUCCUAGCAGAAAACAGCUAUGUUCACUUUGUAUAUUUUAAAAGGCAUGCCUGAUGGUUUACUGAGAUAUAGAAGUACAUAAAAGCUUUAUUAGUGUUUUAUUAAAGGACUAAAUACAUAAAAAAUAAGUAACUUCCCUAGUGCUACUCUAUAAAUAAAAGUGAUCUCUCUGGUAAUUGAUAUCUCCAUUUC
rnacentral:lncRNA from 1 species